rnacentral:lncRNA from 1 species
ACUUUCCGAACUCCAGGCUGAAACCCUGAAGAACUCACUAAAAUCCUGCGCACACUUUUUCUUUCUUUUCUUUCUUUUUCUCUCGGAAGGAUAUAGACCUUCACCUUGCACACAAGGAUUCCUCAUGCCCAGAUUUUUUCUCCAAAAUUUUUCUUGCACACGCCCCACUCUUCUCCUCCGUUUAAAAUUGUUGGUGCAAAAAUUUGCUUGCGCUGGAGAAGCUGGAGUCGGGGAAGCCGCGGUCGCCGCCGGGACCUGCAAAGGAAGUCUAAAUCGGAGGUGGGGUUGCUCCGGCAAGAC